rnacentral:rRNA from 1 species
UACGGAGGGUGCAAACGUUGCUCGGAAUCAUUGGGCGUAAAGCGCACGUAGGCGGCUCGUUAAGUCGGAUGUGAAAGCCCUGGGCUCAACCCAGGAAGUGCAUACGAAACUGGCGAGCUUGAGUAUGGAAGAGGGUCGCGGAAUUCCCGGUGUAGAGGUGAAUUUCGUAGAUAUCGGGAGGAACACCAGUGGCGAAGGCGGCGACCUGGGCCAAUACUGACGCUGAGGUGCGAAAGCGUGGGGAGCAAACAGG